AAGAUAUAUAUAUAUAUAUAUGUAUAUAUAUCUCUCUCUCUCUCUCUAAUGAGCUCGACGACGUGCUAACCCAACACCAGAAGUCGUCUCCCUUUGAUUUCCCCCAAGAUAUCUCUCUCUCUCUUUCUCUCUCUCUCUCUCUACAUCAUUGUAUUUCACUGAAUCUUCGUUCGCAUACGGGCGUCAAUCCUCUACAACCUGAUUGCCUCAUAUUAUCAGUUCAUGGAGACGGUUUGCGUAUUGGGGAACAGAUACUCAGAAGUGAUUGCACUCCAAGACAUUGCAAUGUAUGGUGCGCUUUGUGUGCUUGCAAGUUUUGACAGAACAAAGCUCAAGGCAACUAUACCAUGUCUAUUACUAUUGCAUAGUUCCUAUGUAAUAUUGUAGUGUGAGCCGCACUUUUCAAAAAACUAUCAAAAUUAUGAUAGUAUAUAUUUAUGCUCCUAGUAUUUGCUUCGGUGGAUAAGUUCCUAUUUCGUGGACAAUGCUAACAAAAUGAUAUCUGUCCAUAGCUAUUUAAUUUCCUCCAGUACUUUAGGAUU